rnacentral:rRNA from 1 species
UACGUAGGGGGCUAGCGUUGUCCGGAAUCAUUGGGCGUAAAGCGCGUGUAGGCGGUCCGGUAAGUCCGCUGUGAAAGUCGAGGGCUCAACCCUCGAAUGCCGGUGGAUACUGUCGGGCUUGAGUACGGGAGAGGCGAGUGGAAUUCCUGGUGUAGCGGUGAAAUGCGCAGAUAUCAGGAAGAACACCCGUGGCGAAGGCGGCUCGCUGGGACGUGACUGACGCUGAGACGCGAAAGCGUGGGGAGCAAACAGG